rnacentral:rRNA from 1 species
GACGAACGCUGGCGGCGUGCUUAACACAUGCAAGUCGAACGAAGUGGCGAACGGGUGAGUAACGCGUAAUCAACCUGCCCUUCAGAGGGGGACAACAGUUGGAAACGACUGCUAAUACCGCAUACUGAAGGAGGGGAUUGCGUCUGAUUAGCUCGUUGGAGGGGUAACGGCCCACCAAGGCGAUGAUCAGUAGCCGGUCUGGUAGGAUGAACGGCCAAAUUGGGACUGAGAAACGGCCCAGAAGCCUACGGGAGGCAGAAGUGGGGAAGCUUCCGAAAUGGACGAAAGUCUGACGGAGCAACGCCGCGUGAGUGAUGACGGCCUUCGGGUUGUAAAGCUCUUUUAAGCGGGACGCGGUACCGGAAUAGAAAGCCACGGCUAACUACGUGCCAGCAGCCGCGGUAAUUC